rnacentral:rRNA from 1 species
AACGAACGCUGGCGGCAGGCUUAACACAUGCAAGUCGAGCGCCCCGCAAGGGGAGCGGCAGACGGGUGAGUAACGCGUGGGAAUCUACCUUUUGCUACGGAAUAACUCAGGGAAACUUGUGCUAAUACCGUAUGUGCCCUUCGGGGGAAAGAUUUAUCGGCAAAGGAUGAGCCCGCGUUGGAUUAGCUAGUUGGUGGGGUAAAGGCCUACCAAGGCGACGAUCCAUAGCUGGUCUGAGAGGAUGAUCAGCCACAUUGGGACUGAGACACGGCCCAAACUCCUACGGGAGGCAGCAGUGGGGAAUAUUGGACAAUGGGCGCAAGCCUGAUCCAGCCAUGCCGCGUGAGUGAUGAAGGCCUUAGGGUUGUAAAGCUCUUUCACCGGUGAGGAUAAUGACGGUAACCGGAGAAGAAGCCCCGGCUAACUUCGUGCCAGCCGCCGCGGUAACAC